rnacentral:tRNA from 1 species
CUUUUAGCUCAAUGGUUGAGCAUUGGCUUUUAGAGCCAUCGGACGGUGGUUUGAGCUCACCAGAG